rnacentral:rRNA from 1 species
CUGAUGCAGCGACGCCGCGUGAGGGAUGACGGCCUUCGGGUUGUAAACCUCUUUCAGUAGGGAAGAAGCGAGAGUGACGGUACCUGCAGAAGAAGCGCCGGCUAACUACGUGCCAGCAGCCGCGGUAAUACGUAGGGCGCAAGCGUUGUCCGGAAUUAUUGGGCGUAAAGAGCUCGUAGGCGGUUUGUCGCGUCUGCUGUGAAAGCCCGGGGCUCAACCCCGGGUCUGCAGUGGGUACGGGCAGACUAGAGUGCAGUAGGGGAGACUGGAAUUCCUGGUGUAGCGGUGAAAUGCGCAGAUAUCAGGAGGAACACCGAUGGCGAAGGCAGGUCUCUGGGCUGUUACUGACGCUGAGGAGCGAAAGCAUGGGGAGCGAACAGGAUUAGAUACCCUGGUAGUCCAUGCCGUAAACGUUGGGCACUAGGUGUGGGGGACAUUCCACGUUUUCCGCGCCGUAGCUAACGCAUUAAGUGCCCCGCCUGGG